rnacentral:tRNA from 1 species
GGCGGGGUAGCCAAGUGGUAAGGCAGGGCUCUGCAAAAGCCCCAUUUCGUCGGUUCGAUUCCGACCCUCGCCUCGA